AAAUACUCUCUGAUAAACUAUUUUUAUUUUUAUUUUUCAUUGACAAUAUAAUACAAAGAACAAGGAAAUCAACUAAAAGAAUAUACAGAUCAUAGAUGAAAAUGCUAAAAGAAGAAGAUGAUGUAUUCAGAAAGAAGAACGAUUACUGAAUAAUUAAAAAAAAAAUCUUCUUUAUUUUGAUCUUCAACCUUCCUUGAUAAGGUGACACUGAAUUGAAUCAGUAAACUAUCCAUCAAAAACUCUUCACGGAGACUUCUAUUCCUCUGGAUUUGCAAGAGAUUCUUCAUUUUUGCCACUGAUGAUAGUGAAUUCUAACAAAAAUGCAUCCCAUAAAGAUACAAAAAUUGUUAUUUUCAAAAGGAAAAAAGAAAACGAGAACUAGAAGAGGAACAAAAGAAAAAUAUUACCUUUUCAUAGUCAGGUUAGGAGACUCUAGUUUUUCUUAAAAUCAUUCAUAAGACGAAUAGAAUCAUGACUCAUAAUAAACAUCUAAAAAAAGAUGGUUGAUUCUUGUUGAUUUUUAUAAAUCAAAUAACCUAGAAUUUAUUGUUUAAGAUGAUAAAAAAGUUUUAAGAGAUAGAUAAGAAGAAGGAC
rnacentral:lncRNA from 1 species